rnacentral:rRNA from 2 species
UAGCGGCGGACGGGUGAGUAACACGUGGGUGACUGGCUCAGAGAGGGGAAUAGCCUUCCGAAAGGAAGAUUAAUACCGCAUAAUAUACGCAUUUAGCAUUAUAAGCGUAUCAAAGGAGAAAUCCGCUUUGAGAUGGGCCCGCGGCGCAUUAGCUAGUUGGAGAGGUAACGGGUCACCAAGGCGACGAUGCGUAGCCGACCUGAGAGGGUGAUCGGGCACAUUGGAACUGAGACACGGUCCAGACUCCUACGGGAGGCAGCAGUGGGGAAUAUUGCACAAUGGGGGAAACCCUGAUGCAGCAACGCCGCGUGAAUGAUGAAGGCCUUCGGGUCGUAAAGUUCUUUGAUUGGGGACGAUAAUGACGGUACCCAAAAAACAAGCCACG